AACGCUGGCGGCGUGGUUAAGACAUGCAAGUCGCACGGGCAUAGCAAUAUGCCAGUGGCGCACGGGUGAGUAAAGUAUCGCUAACGUGCCCCGAAGACGGGGAUAGCUGCCCGAAAGGGCAGGUAAUACCCGGUAAGACCCCGGCACCGCAUGGUGCUGUGCUCAAAGGCCGCAAGGCGCUUUGGGAGCGGGCGAUAUCGCAUCAGCUAGUUGGUGAGGUAACGGCUCACCAAGGCAGCGACGCGUAGCCGGACUGAGAGGUCGGCCGGCCACAUCGGGACUGAGACACUGCCCGGACUCCUACGGGGGGCUGCAGUAACGAAUCUUCCCCAAUGGGCGCAAGCCUGAGGGAGCGACGCCGCGUGGAGGAUGAAGUCCUUCGGGAUGUAAACUCCUGUCAGGGAUAAGAAAAUUCUGAUCUAUCCCAAAGGAAGUGGCGGCUAACUCUGUGCCAGCAGCCGCGGUAAGACAGAGGCCACAAGCGUUAGGCGGAAUCACUGGGCUUAAAGCGUGUGUAGGCGGAUCGUUAAGUGCCUUGUGAAAUCCCACGGCUCAACCGUGGAACGGCUGGGCAUACUGGCGGUCUUGAGCUGCCUAGGGGCGACUGGAACAGACGGUGGAGCGGUGAAAUGCGUAGAUAUCGUCUGGAACGCCAAUGGUGAAAACAGGUCGCUGGGGGCAUGCUGACGCUGAGACACGAAAGCCAGGGGAGCAAACGGGAUUAGAUACCCCGGUAGUCCUGGCCCUAAACGAUGUCCACUAGAUUGUGGUUCUUUUGACGGAAUCACGGUCGAAGCCAAAGUGCUAAGUGGACCGCCUGGGAAGUACGGUCGCAGGCUAAAACU
rnacentral:rRNA from 1 species